rnacentral:rRNA from 1 species
GUGGGNGAACCUGCGGAAGGAUCAUUG